GACGUAGGGGGCGAGCGUUGUCCGGAUUUAUUGGGCGUAAAGAGCUCGUAGGCGGCUCAGAAAGUCGGGUGUGAAACCUCCAGGCUCAACCUGGAGACGCCACCUGAUACUGCUGUGGCUAGAGUCCGGUAGGGGAACACGGAAUUCCCGGUGUAGCGGUGAAAUGCGCAGAUAUCAGGAAGAACACCCGUGGCUAAGGCGGCUCUCUAGUACGGUACUGACGCUGAGACGCGAAAGCGUGGGGAGCGAACAGG
rnacentral:rRNA from 1 species